UUUUGACGUUCAUCACCGGAUUGCGUUUCAUUUGAUAGGCUACAUUUUUUUCCAUUAAUAAUUACUGCCUGCGUCUCGGUUAUAUCAAGGACGGACAAUUCGAUGUAUUAGUUACUCAAUAUGUUAAUCAGUCGAAAUGCCAGCAGGUAGCAGAACAACUAUGGCGAGCUCUGAAUCAUCGAGAAAAGUAUAAAGCUGAAAAUAUGACAACUAGGCCUACCAAGAAUUGGCUACAAUUGCCAACAUUGUUCCAUCAUGGCGUAACAUUUAACAUAUCAACGUUUGAUAUAACAUGACAGUGAAGAAUGUGAGGGUGGUAUAAUUAGGUGGCAAUGUGUAUUAGUUGGGUGAGUGUCAGAGAAAAUGGUAGCUUAUUAGUCGACCUGAGUUUUCAAAAGGCCAGUAAAAAGAGUAAAAACAAAAGACAAGUGACUUCGAUCAGUGUCUCAUUGAUGCAAAUGUGUAAAGGGGUGUGUCUUUGCCACUAGGAUUUCACAGUCCUUUUCUACACACCCUUCAAUAAUAGUACAAUCAUCACAGUCAGAAGAGGACAAGCCAUCUGAGGCCUCCUAGCCAGCUGCUUAGACAGGGCAUCCUCCAGCUUUCAUUACCCCAUGUGCUUAGCCUUUCUUGCUGGCUGGGACUGAAAUCCAGAAAAGAUCCAGACAUGAUUACUGCUGCUUAUGUCAGAGGACAAGUCACUCUUCUCUGAUAAGGACACAUAUAAAGUUUUAUGAGUGGAGAUGUUUAUGAGUUUCUUGUUAAAUUGUCUUUCAACCCAUUCUCUUAAAUGUUUAAAUUCCACCUGUGUCUGCAUCUAAUGUUUCUCUACUUGUUAAACAGAGGCCAGAAAUAUAUCGAAUGUAAUAAAUGUAGAUACUAAGUAAGAACAAACUUGGAUUUUUUGCGUGUGCAGCCUAUCUCUACGCUGAAUGUCAGUCUGCAAGACUUUUGAGUAAGCUGAUAUUGAGCUUUAUAUAUAUGUUUUGUUGGGUGUGGGGACUCCUGUCCUCAAGCAAGAGUUAUGGAUGCAAAGGGAUCUGAGGAACAUUUAAAAAAAAUCGAAGUCAAGUUUUUAACCAUUGUUAUUUUCUUUACAAACGCUUUGAAAUAAUAUAGUAUGAUUUAUCUGUGAUAGAAACACCAAUCGAAGGAUUUUAAAAAUGGAAUUACAAAGCAUCAACAAUAGAUCUGACCCGCGACAAAUUCUUCACCUGGAAGGCCCAAGACUGUCCCCUGAAAUCAAUGUUGGAGAUCAUUCUAAGACAUCACAUUGAAGGACAUAAAGACAUAAUACAUGGUAAAGCAUACUGAAUCAUCUACUUCUUGAAUGAUCAUUCCCAUAUCUGCUCUUUACAGAAGGUAAUACAGAUGAUAAGGAAUUAAAUUGUGGGUAAAGCAUUGUUAAACUACUGCUGUAGUUUUAUUUUUCAUGACCUAGUAACUGCUGAAGGUGAAUGAAUUACAGAAUAAGAUCUCCCUAGCUCUGGCAGAACUAGUGCGCCCUUGUGGAGACUAUGGGUAGCUCACCCUCACUCGCUGUUCCUAGUGCGAAAUGCUUUUGAGACUUUCCUGCCAAAGAAGAGGCUGAAAUCUGGGACAACUCCAUCCUCAUGCCAGCCUUAUUACAUCAACAGUUGUCACAAACUUCUUUACAGAAAUCCAGCCUAAAAACCCCACAGAGCAAGCAAUCCAGGUGCAGAAAAACAGUGGCCUGGAAAGGCCAAAUCAAAUCAAAGUUUAUAGGUCAUGUACAUAUAUUUGCAGAUGUUAUAGCAGGUGCAGCGAAAUACUUAUGUUUCUAGCUCCAACGGUGCAGUAACAUCUAGAAACAAUACAGUAACCCCAAAAAGUAGAAUGCUUGUUUUGGAACAUUUGUAUUCUUUAAUUUAUGUUAGUAUUGUGGAGUAACUACAAUGUUGUUGAUCCAUCCACAUUUUUCUCCUAUCACAGCCAUUAAACUCUGUAACUGUUUUAAAAUCCC